rnacentral:sRNA from 1 species
GCCGAACUAGUUGCGGCCACCGAGCAGCCGGCUCUCGGCACCUCCUCCUCCGCCUCCCUGUCUCCUGUUCCAUUCGCCUUUCCUCUUCUUUCCUGGCCCACGCCGCUCCGAGGCCUCGCGACCGCCGAGCCUGCAGCCUGCCCCGCGGCCAACAUGAGCUUCUUGUUUGGUAGUCGCUCUUCUAAAACUUUUAAACCAAAGAAGAACAUUCCAGAGGGUUCUCACCAGUAUGAGCUCUUAAAACACGCAGAAGCCACACUUGGCAGUGGCAACCUUCGGAUGGCUGUCAUGCUUCCUGAGGGGGAAGAUCUCAAUGAAUGGGUUGCAGUUAACACUGUGGAUUUCUUCAAUCAGAUCAACAUGCUUUAUGGAACUAUCACAGACUUCUGUACAGAAGAGAGUUGUCCAGUGAUGUCAGCUGGCCCAAACUGCCGGGAAGUCAACAUUUGUGAAUAUCCUUAAACAAUUGUGUGAAGAUUGGGAAGUGGUUCCUGAACCUGUUGCCAGAUGGUGCAAUGUUCAAAGUACUCAAGAUGAAUUUGAGGAACUUACAAUGUCUCAGAAAAAUGGUGGGAAUGUUCUUCAGAUGAUGUAUGAGAAACCUGAACGAUGGUCUUUUACCUUCCA